UCUCAAACCUACACCUGAGCAGGAGGCUCCGUGGGUGUGAGGAGCUGCCAGGAGCUGGGAGAAUCUUCCCAGCUGAGAAUUAUGGAAGAACAUCUUCAUUUCCCAGCCGAGUGUUUUCCUGGCUUCAGGUGAGAUUCUCCACUUUAAUGAAGCCUUUGGCUGAUGGGGGGAGAAGGAUGGAGUCACAUUUCUCUGUGGUUUCCAGGAGAAUAGGAGGGAAUACCAAACUCCUCUCCAAAACUCAGAGAGCUCAGUAGGCUGAAAUAACCUGAUGGAAACCCACAGAUCACCCAACCAAACCAGCUGAAACCAAACACCCUUAGCAGCAAUUUCUAAAGAGAAAACAUUGAAGACUUUGAGGAACUCACAUAAAUUCCUGCUGGAUCCACGUAAGUUCUGGAUGUGAGGGCUCCUGGCUUGGAGAAAAGGGGGAACACUCAAAUCCCGGGGGCAGAUAUUCGAGUUCCUGACUCUGUUUUGGUAAGAGAAGGAAAAAUGAUGCUCCUGCUUGAGGAAGUGCUGGUGAUCCAGAAUUCAGAAUAGCAGUCAUUAAUAAAUAAUAGGGGAGUUGUGAAGAAAAUUAAUUUUUCAAGGACUCUGAAGAACAUCUUUGGAGCUGAGGUCUGGAACCGGCAGGAGCUACAGCGUUCAUCUCACUGCACAUUGAUCAGAGGUUUGGUCAUUGUGCUUCUAAAAUGUCUUUUGCAGCUGGUCUGAUAUUAAUGAAUUGGUUUGGAGCAAUGCUUUCCACUGGUUUGUAGAAAAAGAAGGAAAAUGGUGAUUUGUUCUACCAGACUGCCAGUUUGUUAUGGCUGAUGUGUUUGUAAUGUGGGUUUGUCCUGCUUUUGCAUCUCUUUAUCAAGGACUGACUAACAAUUCUUCCUAACAGCUUUUUGGGUGAUUUUGGCAUCUAUUUUUGCCCAGAAAUCUCCUCAUCCUUCCCUUUCAGCAUCCCCUCAAAUCCCUCUCCGUGCUCAGACACUUGAGGACAAGCUGUGGCCAUUGUGUAAGUGCAGAGCACAAUCCAAAUGGAAAUGGAAACAAUUAAAUAUACAUGACAAGCAGGUAUUUAGACGAGCCUGGAUUUCUUAAUGGUUCAUUUCCACCUUUCAGCUAAAUUAAAUGUUGCUUUCAUCUAUUUUUAAAGGAAUGACUAUUUUUGGUCAGGAGCUGCCCUGCUCCAUCUGCUCCUGAGAUGGUUUUGCUUCAUCCCAAGGACAGCCCCACUGGCUGUGUCAAAACCAGGGGGUUUUUAUGGCACCAUGGGUGAGGAUUCACACAAACCAGGGCUCUGCUACCUCCAGGACCCUUUGGAAAGUCAAGUCCUCUGUAAUUAAUGACUGAUCCUAUUAAUGACAUGGUCCUGGCACUUAUGGGAUGGAUUUUGGGACCUGCUUCUCCCAGUGCCUCUCAGCAGCUGGAAGCUUUGGGGGGCUUUGAAUGCUGCCUGUAUCAAACCCAUUCCUGGUAAUCCAAGACCCAGCCUGUGCAUCCUGAAAUUCCCAUAUCCUGGAAUUCUGCUUCCAUUCCCAUAUCUCUGGCUGGAAUUCAGCUUCCAUUCCCAUAUCUAUGGCUGGAAUUCUGCUUCCAUUCCCAUAUAAAUGGCUGGAAUUCUGCUUCCAUUCCCAUAUUUAUUGCUGGAAUUCUGCUUCCAUUCCCAUAUAAAUGGCUGAGGAGGAUGAUAGGAACUGCUCAAGGGGCUCUUGGCAGUCUCUCUGCUCCCAUCUUGGGAAUCUCAUUGUCUGAAAACCAGGGGCUGGGAAAACAAAAACUUAAGGGUUUUUUGCCUUUUAAUGACAGGUGAAAUGAGGGGAAUAAUGAGAGAAAAAAUGACUGUGAAAUGUAGCAUGUGGAGAAGAUAUUUUCAUAUCCCUCUCUCUUUUGUGUGGCUCAAGAGGACGUGGAUCAUGGAUCUGUCUCCUUCGAUAUAACAGCUGCUGGGAUUGGAAUUUUGGGGGAGAUGUCAUGGAUUCAGACCCCCACAGGCAGGAUGGGUGCAGGUAUGGAUGCCCUGCUGCCCUCAGGCAUUCCUGGCUCCACAGCCUCUCCAGAGGCAGAACCUCUGCUGUAAUUCCCAGGCUGGGAGACGAAUAUUCCUUCCCACCAGUCCGCAUCGAUCGGGGCAGCGCUGCCCUUUUGUUUUGUGCUGAACAACCCAGUGUUUGGAAUUGAGACCUGUCAGGAGCUGAGGGACUUAACAGAGCAACGGGAGCCAUAAAUUUCCCAGGAAUUCACGCCAUGGUUAACGCUGGGGAGGAACAGGCUGCACACAAACUGCCCUGCCAUGCAAAUGCCGAUCGAUGCGCUGACAAAUAUCCUGCUGCAUCCUGCUGCCUCACUCGAUAUUUCUUCAAACAGACGGAAUUUAGGGGGCAGGGAAAGGCAGAACGUUCCACCUGAAGUGGUGCACGGAUGGGAGGUAUAGUGGAACUAAUCAGGAGUGGAUGGAUGAGCUUUGUGGCUGCCUCGCUGUUUAUUUCAUAUAUCUGCUGCUAAACUGUAUUCAAAGGGCUCUAAUGGAAAGGGGGCCUUGCUUGACAUGUAAAACACCUUUUUUCCAGUCUUUUUCUAGAGAAAAAUCCAGGAAUUGACAGGGAUCUAGGUCAAUACAUUGAUGCAGGAAACAAGGAAGCCCCCUCCAGCAGUUUCCCCUCAAGCCCCAUGACUCCAGCAGGCAUUGCCCGGCAUCUCCACCCUUCCACAGGGCUCUUCUGGAGCACCCAGCUCUUUGUGGUGCCAACCAAACUCUGCCUGCAGAUGUCCCUCAGCUCCUCAGGUGCCUCCAGCUCUCUGUCCUCUGCCACUGUCACCCAGCUCAGCCUCAACACCCCCGGCUCCUCUCUGCUGGAGCAGAAGAUGGCCCUGCAGAGGGGCAGAGCCUUCCAGAGGUGAUGGCCAAAGUGUUUUAAUGCUGGGUGUCUUUGCUGGUUGGUGUUGGAGAGUUGGGAAAACCAGGAAAAAGGAGAUAAUUGAUGUGCAGAAGGAACUCUAAAGCAGGGUGCCCACAGAAGCUGUGGCUGCCCCACCCUGGGCUGGAUGGCACCUGGGAUGGUGGAAGGUGUCAGGGGUGGGACUGGAAGAGCUGUAGGUGGAGGGGACUCCCCCACUUUUGGACACUCCAGGAGGGAGCUGG